rnacentral:rRNA from 1 species
UACGUAGGGGGCUAGCGUUGUCCGGAAUCAUUGGGCGUAAAGCGCGUGUAGGCGGUCCGGUAAGUCCGCUGCGAAAGUCGGGGGCUCAACCCUCGGAUGCCGGUGGAUACUGUCGGGCUUGAGUACGGAAGAGGCGAGUGGAAUUCCUGGUGUAGCGGUGAAAUGCGCAGAUAUCAGGAAGAACACCCGUGGCGAAGGCGGUUCUCUGGGACGGUACUGACGCUGAGACGCGAAAGCGUGGGGAGCGAACAGG